UUCUUCUUGAGGAUUAUCAUUUGGUGGAGAAGCUUGCAAAUUUUCAAAGAGAACGCAUUCCAGAACGUGUGGUCCAUGCUAGAGGAGCUAGUGCUAAAGGGUUUUUUGAGGUCACUCACGAUGUCUCUGACCUCACAUGUGCUGAUUUCCUUCGUGCCCCUGGAGUGCAGACUCCAGUUAUUGUUAGGUUUUCCACUGUUAUCCACGAGCGUGGCAGCCCUGAGACCAUAAGGGACCCUCGAGGUUUUGCUGUGAAGUUCUAUACUAGAGAGGUAACUGAACUAGCUUAAUAAGUAAUUCUUCUCUCAUUAAGGAGUCUUUCCAGUUGGCUUUUCAAGUUUUUCAAUUACAAAUUCUCAAAAAGAGCUUCAUUUUUCAAUCACUCCAUAAAUUUUUAAGUGAGUCCUUGAAAACUCAUUCCGUUACAUAAUUGCAACCUCAAUGCUCAGACAAAGGUUUUAUAUUUGGAGGUUAUUUAUAUAAACAGGGUGUUUUUUGCCAAUUUAUAUGCAUUAGACUGUUGUUUUUAAAUUCUUGUGUUUAUGGUUCCAUGAAGGAAAUGUGUGCUUGGAAGGCAUGUCAUUCUGCAUUUUUACAGUAUGCGUCCUCAGGUCUCAUGUCUGUUGCUGAAGAGAACUUUGUAACCAAUGUCCAUGUUGUUUGAUGAUAUCUUAGUUGUACUCUUUGUACAUGUUGGUUGUGUGUUUUCUCAAAGAGAGAGGGAGAGAGAAGAUACUCUAAUUGAUGCAUGCCACUAUGGACUGGUAGAGACUGAACUUUGUGUGUGUAUUUUCAUAUAGGCAAGCUGUAUGCAUGGAAUCUGUUCUUCUUUUGUUUGAGUUAUUUGAAAGAUGGAAUUGUGUAUUUCUUAAUGAGGUUUCCAUCAUAAAAAUCUGAGUAGUUAAUUAUUUGAUGCAUUUGAAAGGAAAUAACUUACUAAUUUGCUCAAUCUUAAACCUUGUUGGCAUCAGGGCAAUUUUGAUAUGGUGGGAAACAAUUUCCCAGUCUUCUUUAUUCGUGAUGCAAUGAAGUUCCCUGAUGUGAUCCAUGCUUUUAAACCCAAUCCGAAGUCCCAUAUCCAGGAGUAUUGGAGAGUUGUUGACUUCUUGUCCUACCAUCCAGAAAGCUUGAGCACAUUUGCCUUCCUCUUCGAUGAUGUGGGUGUCCCACAGGACUAUAGGCACAUGGAAGGCUUUGGUGUUCACACCUUCACUCUAAUCAACAAGGCUGGGAAGGCAAAUUAUGUGAAGUUCCACUGGAAACCCACGUGUGGAGUCAAGUGUUUGUUGGAGGAUGAAGCCAUAAGAGUAGGAGGAACUAACCACAGUCAUGCUA
rnacentral:lncRNA from 1 species